rnacentral:rRNA from 1 species
GACGAACGCUGGCGGCGUGCCUAAUACAUGCAAGUCGAACGAACUCUGGUAUUGAUUGGUGCUUGCAUCAUGAUUUACAUUUGAGUGAGUGGCGAACUGGUGAGUAACACGUGGGAAACCUGCCCAGAAGCGGGGGAUAACACCUGGAAACAGAUGCUAAUACCGCAUAACAACUUGGACCGCAUGGUCCGAGUUUGAAAGAUGGCUUCGGCUAUCACUUUUGGAUGGUCCCGCGGCGUAUUAGCUAGAUGGUGGGGUAACGGCUCACCAUGGCAAUGAUACGUAGCCGACCUGAGAGGGUAAUCGGCCACAUUGGGACUGAGACACGGCCCAAACUCCUACGGGAGGCAGCAGUAGGGAAUCUUCCACAAUGGACGAAAGUCUGAUGGAGCAACGCCGCGUGAGUGAAGAAGGGUUUCGGCUCGUAAAACUCUGUUGUUAAAGAAGAACAUAUCUGAGAGUAACUGUUCAGGUAUUGACGGUAUUUAACCAGAAAGCCACGGCUAACUACGUGCCAACAGCCGCGGUAAUACGUAGGUGGCAAGCGUUGUCCGGAUUUAUUGGGCGUAAAGCGAGCGCAGGCGGUUUUUUAAGUCCGAAGUGAAAGCCUUCGGCUCAACCGAAGAAGUGCAUCGGAAACUGGGAAACUUGAGUGCAGAAGAGGACAGUGGAACUCCAUGUGUAGCGGUGAAAUGCGUAGAUAUAUGGAAGAACACCAGUGGCGAAGGCGGCUGUCUGGUCUGUAACUGACGCUGAGGCUCGAAAGUAUGGGUAGCAAACAGGAUUAGAUACCCUGGUAGUCCAUACCGUAAACGAUGAAUGCUAAGUGUUGGAGGGUUUCCGCCCUUCAGUGCUGCAGCUAACGCAUUAAGCAUUCCGCCUGGGGAGUACGGCCGCAAGGCUGAAACUCAAAGGAAUUGACGGGGGCCCGCACAAGCGGUGGAGCAUGUGGUUUAAUUCGAAGCUACGCGAAGAACCUUACCAGGUCUUGACAUACUAUGCAAAUCUAAGAGAUUAGACGUUCCCUUCGGGGACAUGGAUACAGGUGGUGCAUGGUUGUCGUCAGCUCGUGUCGUGAGAUGUUGGGUUAAGUCCCGCAACGAGCGCAACCCUUAUUAUCAGUUGCCAGCAUUAAGUUGGGCACUCUGGUGAGACUGCCGGUGACAAACCGGAGGAAGGUGGGGAUGACGUCAAAUCAUCAUGCCCCUUAUGACCUGGGCUACACACGUGCUACAAUGGAUGGUACAACGAGUUGCGAACUCGCGAGAGUAAGCUAAUCUCUUAAAGCCAUUCUCAGUUCGGAUUGUAGGCUGCAACUCGCCUACAUGAAGUCGGAAUCGCUAGUAAUCGCGGAUCAGCAUGCCGCGGUGAAUACGUUCCCGGGCCUUGUACACACCGCCCGUCACACCAUGAGAGUUUGUAACACCCAAAGUCGGUGGGGUAACCUUUUAGGAACCAGCCGCCUAAGGUGGGACAGAUGAUUAGGGUG